UACAGAGGGGGCAAGCGUUGUUCGGAAUUACUGGGCGUAAAGGGCGCGUAGGCGGCCCGCUAAGUCGAACGUGAAAUCCCCGGGCUCAACCCGGGAACUGCGUCCGAUACUGGCAGGCUUGAAUCCGGGAGAGGGAUGCGGAAUUCCAGGUGUAGCGGUGAAAUGCGUAGAUAUCUGGAGGAACACCGGUGGCGAAGGCGGCAUCCUGGACCGGUAUUGACGCUGAGGCGCGAAAGCCAGGGGAGCAAACGGGG
rnacentral:rRNA from 1 species